GCAAGUCGAACGGUAACAUUUCUAGCUUGCUAGAAGAUGACGAGUGGCGGACGGGUGAGUAAUGCUUGGGAACUUGCCUUUACGAGGGGGAUAACAGUUGGAAACGACUGCUAAUACCGCAUAAUGUCUUCGGACCAAACGGGGCUUCGGCUCCGGCGCAAAGAGAGGCCCAAGUGAGAUUAGCUAGUUGGUAAGGUAACGGCUUACCAAGGCGACGAUCUCUAGCUGUUCUGAGAGGAAGAUCAGCCACACUGGGACUGAGACACGGCCCAGACUCCUACGGGAGGCAGCAGUGGGGAAUAUUGCACAAUGGGGGAAACCCUGAUGCAGCCAUGCCGCGUGUGUGAAGAAGGCCUUCGGGUUGUAAAGCACUUACAGUUGUGAGGAAAAGUUAGUAGUUAAUACCUGCUAGCCGUGACGUUAACAACAGAAGAAGCACCGGCUAACUCCGUGCCAGCAGCCGCGGUAAUACGGAGGGUGCGAGCGUUAAUCGGAAUUACUGGGCGUAAAGCGCACGCAGGCGGUUUGUUAAGCUAAAUGUGAAAGCCCCGGGCUCAACC
rnacentral:rRNA from 1 species